UGAUACUAUGGUCAUAAAGUAAACGCUCUAUAUGAUGAAAAAGCUUGACUCUGUAGCUAGCUCGAAAUAUAUACAUACUUUUUAUCAUUGAGAAGAUUGUUAGGAGAUUUGUAUAAACUAACCUAAAAAAUACACUCCGUGUGCAUAUUUUACAAGCAGUACAAGUAAAACAGUGAUUAUUCUCGGCGAAAGUACAAAUGUGAGCCUGAGUCGCAGUGAUCCUGGAAUCUAUACCGCAAGUUUAUAUCGUAAUAUGUGCACGAUGUGGUCUUGGCACAGGUAUAACGGUUGCUAUUUAUGGACUAUGGCCACAGGUCAGACGCUGCCCUUGUAAUUCCAUUAAUUACCGUUACCAUGGAUCAAAAGGAGAUGGACGUUGUGGGCUGACUGCAUUAAG
rnacentral:lncRNA from 1 species